rnacentral:rRNA from 1 species
CAGCCGUAAACUAUGCGCGUUAGGUGUAUCGGUGACCACGAGUUACCGAGGUGCCGAAGGGAAACCGUGAAACGUGCCGCCUGGGAAGUACGGUCGCAAGGUUGAAACUUAAAGGAAUUGGCGGGGGAGCACCACAACAGGUGGAGCCUGCGGUUUAAUUGGACUCAACGCCGGGAAGCUCACCGGAUAGGACAGCAGAAUGAUUGCCGGGCUGAAGACCCUGCAUGACUAGCUGAGAGGAGGUGCAUGGCGUCAGUGACU